ACGCUCGACACCUACGGGAGGCAGCAGGUGGGGAAUAUUGCACAAUGGGGGAAACCCUGAUGCAGCGACGCCGCGUGAGCGAAGAAGUAUUUCGGUAUGUAAAGCUCUAUCAGCAGGGAAGAAACUGACGGUACCUGACUAAGAAGCACCGGCUAAAUACGUGCCAGCAGACGCGGUAAUCUGAGCGGGCUGGCAAGGC
rnacentral:rRNA from 1 species